AUAUAUGUAUUCAGCUUUAUAACUCAUUGCUAUAUACUCUAUAAAGGCUAUAUAUAGUGUUUUUUCAGUAGCAUUUCAAGUGUUGGUGUAGCUGAAUUCUCAGUUGUAACUUUGCUUUCCACUUGCUUUCUAUGUUUUUUUGGCAGAAAAUACAGUCUCUGUUUUCCACAGAGCUGGGCCAGGAGUAAAGCUGGUGAAAUCAGAACAGGUUGUUUCACAGGCACAUCUUGACAGCUGUGUGUGAUUUGAGCCAUGUCAGCAUCCUCUUGAGCAUUGCCUUCUCAUACUCACACUACAACUCCCAGCUAGCUUAAAUGGAGAAGCAGCUGGCUCUUCUGAGCUUUAUCUAAGCUGAUGUACUUUUUCUCUGGGUACGCUCAGAUUUUUCUGUAACAAAUUGAUGUUUUCAUAGCUAACAGACUGAAGCGCUCUGUGACUUUUUUCUCCACCUUUGUUUCUACUACAGAGAAGUAAAAUCACUGAGAACUAAAACGUGGGAGAAGCAAGAGGAUUUAACUGUUAGAAAAACUUUGUUUCACAAUUAACCUUGGGACUUGGGAAAGAAGAAACGAUGGACUGCUUUGCAGCAGGUAGCAACUUUCAGCAGUCCUGAACUGGAAGGGCAGGUCUGAACAAACGGAAGAAAAGCAGCUGAGUCACUGGGAGUGAAAGCAGUGAUUGUGCCAGUGCUAUGAUAAGAUUUGAUGCAUCUGAUCAGCCACAGAUUCCCCCCAACCCAAUACUGAUCCUUCUGCAAGGCAGGUGCAGUUUCUGAGCACACCAAACAAGGCAGUGAUACAUGUUUCUCUACUGCUGCAUUAUCUGCAAGAGGCUGAUUGUGAAAAACUUGUCUGAACAGAAGAGAACUGUGAAGUUGACAAUGGAACGAAAC